UGGGGAAUAUUGCACAAUGGAGGGAACUCUGAUGCAGCGACGCCGCGUAAACGAAGAAGGCUUUCGAGUCGUAAAGUUCUUUUAUAUGGGAAGAUAAUGACGGUACCAUAAGAAGAAGCCCCGGCUAACUACGUGCCAGCAGCCGCGGUAAUACGUAGGGGGCUAGCGUUGUCCGGAAUCACUGGGCGUAAAGGGUUCGCAGGCGGAAAUGCAAGUCAGGUGUAAAAGGCAGUAGCUUAACUACUGUAAGCAUUUGAAACUGCAUAUCUUGAGAAGAGUAGAGGUAAGUGGAAUUUUUAGUGUAGCGGUGAAAUGCGUAGAUAUUAAAAAGAAUACCGGUGGCGAAGGCGACUUACUGGGCUCAUUCUGACGCUGAGGAACGAAAGCGUGGGUAGCAAACAGG
rnacentral:rRNA from 1 species